CUGUUCCCUUUCUGCAUACUGUGCUUACUUUUGGCAGGAGUUCCAGCGUCCAGCGUGUUUUCGCCAGGCUUUUGUGGUUUUGAGGCGUCGUUUGGGUGCAGGCGGUGGUGUAGCGGGUCCGUGACUGGAGUGACCGUCUGUGCGAAGUGUCUGGGGUCGGAGGGUGAGGAGGCAGGCGAGGCCGGCAACUCAUACUUACCUGGCAGGGGAGAUACCAUGAUCACGAAGGUGGUUUUCCCAGGGCGAGGCUUAUCCAUUGCACUCCGGAUGUGCUGACCCCUGCGAUUUCCCCAAAUGUGGGAAACUCGACUGCAUAAUUUGUGGUAGUGGGGGACUGCGUUCGCGCUUUCCCCUGAUGAAACUGUUUCAAAGAGUAGUUAAAGUUUGGUUUUGGUUGUAGGUUUUGGUUGUAUCUUUUUAUGGUAGGUGUUAACUGUGGUGGUUUUUCUCAUGUUUUUUUUUUCUUAUAAUGCGGAAAUCGGUGUAGUUCAUAUAAAGGUUUGCUUUUCAAAUUUCCGCUUGAAGUUCUGGCUAUAUAUUGCUGCUAUUAACGGUUGAAAUUUAAGUUCCUUUUUUAUUCUGUGUGGUGGUUGGUUCACUUUCUUCUAGAGGAGAAUCUGUUUCUGACCUUAGGGUUCCCCCCUUUACUGAGGUUACCUCUCUGUAUUUCUUGUCUGUGGUCUGUUUCUCAGUUUUCAAAGCCAGCAAGUUAUCAGUUUGCUGAUAAUCUGCAUCCUCCUUAUACGGACCCUGUGAAUAUGUUAGGCCCAUCUGGAUAAUUCUGGGAUACCAAGUCCCUAUUCCUCGCCCACCCAAAUUCAAAGUUUGUCACAUCCAUAAGAGGUUUUUUAUUUUAUCUUAUUAUUUUUGUCUUUUCUUUUUAAAAGGGCCCCACUCAUGCCCCAUAGAGGUUCCCAGGCUAGGGGUCUAAUCGGAGCUGUUGCUGCCAGCCUACGCCAGAGCCACAGCAACGCCAGAUCCAAGCCACGUCUGUGAACUACACCACAGCUCACGGCAACACUGGAUCCUCAACCCACUGAGCGAGGCCAGGGAUCGAACCCACAACCUCGUGGUUCCUAGUCGGAUUCGUUUCUGCAGCGCCGUGACAGGAACUCCAUGGAAUAUCUUUCUGUUUCUUUGAAUCCUCUUUAAUUUCCUUGAUUAAUGAUUUAUAAUUCUCAGCAUUUAAGUCUUUCCCCUCCUUGAUCAGGUUUAUUCCUAAGUAUUUCGUUUUUUUGGGUACGAUUUUAUAAGAGGUAUUAUAUUUUUGUAUUCCUUUUCUAAUAUUUCAUUGUAAAUAUACAGAACUGCAAGUAAUGUCUGAAUGUUGAUCAGUGAAACUGGAACACACCCUCGGACCACGCACAAAAAUAAACUCAAAAUGGCUUAAAGACAUAAACAGAAGACAGGACACCAUCAAACUCCUAGAAGAGAACAUAGGCAAAACAUUCUCUGACAUCAACCGUGCACAUGUUUUCUUAGGUCUCCCAAGGCAACAAAAGUAAAAGCAAAAAUAAACCAAUGGGACCUGAUCAAAUUGACAAGAUUUUGCACAGC
rnacentral:lncRNA from 1 species